CCUACGGGUGGCAGCAGUGGGGAAUAUUGGGCAAUGGGCGCAAGCCUGACCCAGCAACGCCGCGUGAAGGAAGAAGGCUCUCGGGUUGUAAACUUCUUUUAAGGGGGAAGAGCAGAAGACGGUAUCCCUUGAAUAAGCCACGGCUAACUACGUGCGAGCAGACGCGGUAAUACGUAGGUGGCAAGCGUUGUCCGGAUUUACUGGGUGUAAAGGGCGUGCAGCCGGAGAGACAAGUCAGAUGUGAAAUCCACGGGCUCAACCCGUGAACUGCAUUUGAAACUGUUUCCCUUGAGUGUCGGAGGGGUAAUCGGAAUUCCUUGUGUAGCGGUGAAAUGCGUAGAUAUUAGGAGGAACACCAGUGGCGAAGGCGGCUUACUGGACUGUAACUGACGUUGAGGCUCGAAAGCGUGGGGAGCAAACAGGAUUAGAUACCCCAGUAGUC
rnacentral:rRNA from 1 species